rnacentral:tmRNA from 1 species
GGGGCCGACUGGUUUUGACAGCGGGUUUCAUUGGUGGGUAAGCAUGCCGAGCGCUGGAGUACAGCUCGUAAAUCUCAUAUUUCACUCUUUUUUAAACGGCGAGAAUAACUACGCCCUAGCUGCAUAAUCCGAAUUAUAGUAGGAUAUGCCUCGGCCCGCAAGGCGGGCAAGCAGGAAGUCACUCGAAGGCCUUGGUUUACGGCAAUCGAUAUAGUGGCUUCGUAGAAGUAAACCUAGCUUGGUUAGGGCUUUGAUGACCUAGCGAAAUUUAAUCGAAGCUAAGUCUUGAGCAGGCAGUUUUCAGCCAGCAAUGGAACGAAAAUCUAAAUGAAAACUAAGCAUGUAGAAAGCCUAUUAACGGCGCGUUUGGACGGGAGUUCGACUCUCGCCGGCUCCACUU